rnacentral:rRNA from 1 species
GAGAGAAGCUUGCUUCUCUUGAGAGCGGCGGACGGGUGAGUAAUGCCUAGGAAUCUGCCUGGUAGUGGGGGAUAACGUUCGGAAACGAACGCUAAUACCGCAUACGUCCUACGGGAGAAAGCAGGGGACCUUCGGGCCUUGCGCUAUCAGAUGAGCCUAGGUCGGAUUAGCUAGUUGGUGAGGUAAUGGCUCACCAAGGCGACGAUCCGUAACUGGUCUGAGAGGAUGAUCAGUCACACUGGAACUGAGACACGGUCCAGACUCCUACGGGAGGCAGCAGUGGGGAAUAUUGGACAAUGGGCGAAAGCCUGAUCCAGCCAUGCCGCGUGUGUGAAGAAGGUCUUCGGAUUGUAAAGCACUUUAAGUUGGGAGGAAGGGCAGUUACCUAAUACGUGAUUGUUUUGACGUUACCGACAGAAUAAGCACCGGCUAACUCUGUGCCAGCAGCCGCGGUAAUACAGAGGGUGCAAGCGUUAAUCGGAAUUACUGGGCGUAAAGCGCGCGUAGGUGGUUUGUUAAGUUGGAUGUGAAAUCCCCGGGCUCAACCUGGGAACUGCAUUCAAAACUGACUGACUAGAGUAUGGUAGAGGGUGGUGGAAUUUCCUGUGUAGCGGUGAAAUGCGUAGGAUAUAGGAAGGAACACCAGUGGCGAAGGCGACCACCUGGACUAAAUACUGACCACUGAGG